rnacentral:rRNA from 1 species
AGUGAACGCUGGCGGUAGGCCUAAUACAUGCAAGUCGAACGACAGCACAGUAAGGGUUUGCUCUUGCGGGUGGCGAGUGGCGGACGGGUGAGGAAUACAUCGGAAUCUUCUUUUUCGUGGGGGAUAACGUAGGGAAACUUACGCUACUACCUCAUACGACCUACGGGUGAAAUCAGUGGAUCUUCAGACCUUUCCCGACUGAUUGAGCCGAGGUCGGGUUAGCUAGUUGGGUGGGUAAAGGCCCGCCUAGGCGACGGUCCGUAGCUCGUCUGAGGGGAUGGUCAGGCCCCAUGGAACUGGAGACAGGUCCAGGCUCCUAAGGGAGGGAACAGUGGGGAAAUUUGGAGAAUGGGGGCAAGCCUGAUCCAGCCAUCCCGCGGUGGGGAAGAAGGCCUACGGGUUGUAAAGCCUUUUUGUUGGGAAAGAAAAGCAGCAGUUUAAUACCCCGCUGUUCUGACGGUACCCAAAGAAUAAGCACCGGCUAACUUCGUG